ensembl:ncRNA ZK112.14 ncRNA
GAUUUGGGACUGAAGCGCAGGGCCGGUAUUCAUGAUGAAAUCGCCUAGCGAAAAGCAGGGAAAAAUAUUUCGUCAUGUGAAAGCGCACACACUGUGUCAACGUGGACUAUUUUGAUGGGAGAAAAUGAGUGAACAACGCGUAGUACUCGG